UUGCGAAUGUGACUCCCAUGAUAUGUCAGAAAUGCUAUGUGUUUCAUCAAUAAGUUGGUCACUGGGAUUGGAAUACAGUAUUUUUUGAUAACCCCGGAGUUUCACCAAGUAAGGGAGCACUUCUUUUGGAAAUUUAGGCAAUUUCAUGCGUCUUCCGGAAAAUCGAUGUUGAAAUUCAAAAAAAAGAAAGUGUGAAUGAAGAUUUAUGAAAUCGCGCAACUGUCUGUAAAUCAACCAACGGAUAGCAUGUGGCCCAGUACCAUAUUCAACUUGAAUUGUGAAAGUACUGUGUAUGCGAUUAUGUUUAGGCUCCACAUCAAGCACUGAGACCUUUAUUAGGUCGGUAAUAA